AAUGAACGUUGGCGGCGUGGAUUAGGCAUGCAAGUCGAGCGGAAAGGCCCGCAAGGGCACUCGAGCGGCGUAAGGGACAGUAAUGUGUAGGUAACGUACCCCUGGGUCUAGGAUAGCUGCGGGAAACUGCAAUUAAUACUAGAUAACGUCUCCGGACCAAAGGUGUGAUUCCACCUGGGGAGCGGCCUACAUCCUAUUAGCUAGUUGGCGAGGUAAUGGCUCACCAAGGCGAAGAUGGGUAGCAGGUGUGAGAGCACGACCUGCGUCACUGGGACUGAGACACUGCCCAGACACCUACGGGUGCUGCAGUCGAGAAUCUUCGGCAAUGGGCGAAAGCCUGACCGAGCGACGCCGCGUGUGGGGAUGAAGGCCUUGGUGUAACCACUGUCGGAGGGGAGU
rnacentral:rRNA from 1 species